AGAAUCGACGCUGGCGGCGUGCCUAACACAUGCAAGUCGAACGAGAAAGUGGAGCAAUCCAUGAGUAAAGUGGCGACCGGGUGAGUAACACGUGACUAACCUACCUUCGAGUGGGGGAUAACCUCGGGAAACCGGGGCUAAUACCGCAUAAAAUCUUUGGAUCGGAAGAACUGGAGAUCAAUGGAGCAAUUCGCUUGGAAGAGGGGGUCGCGGCUGAUUAGCUAGUUGGCGGGGUAAUGGCCACCAAGGCUUUGAUCGGUAGCCGGCCUGAGCGGGCGCGCGACG
rnacentral:rRNA from 1 species